GCAAUAAAAGUUGAUUUGCACUAACAAGCUAAAAGCUCUGAGUGCUACCAGACUAUGAUGCCUUCCAGGAGGGAGAGCAGCUAUUAGAUCCUAUGAUGGUAGAACGUAUUUUCACAAUAGACAUCAAAAAGAUUUAGAAUCCAAAGCUGGGAUCCAAUCUAUUGUUCAGAAGUCAGCCAGUGUGGAAGAAAAGAUUCAACUGCCUUUGAUUUCAGCAGAGUCCGGGCGUACUACAGCUGCUGUAAUUUCAACCCUUCCUACUCUCUUCCAUACUCAGCAGGAAUUCUGAUUAUGGAAGAAGACUGUGCCCAUGAAGCUGAUGAGCUGCUGAUACAUUGAGGACAGAAGAUUUUGACAAAAUCCCAAGCCACUGCAAGUCACAUACUCCUUGGCACAACUGGGACUCAUCAGGGGGCAAGGUAGAACUUGUGCAAACAGAAAACAAAACACCAAGGAAGAGUGAGUGCAUGUGAAGGAACAGACACAAGGUCAGAAGGAACUUCAAGAACCAUCAGAGCAGCAGCCCAUGAAUUCACCUGAGAAGGGCCGAGUCUUCCUGCAAAUCAGCUGAGGAAUGAGAUGCCACUGGAUUUAGAUGAGGAGCUCCUUGGAGACAGAGACUCACUCCCUGCUUGUCCAGGACCAGUUUAUCAACACAAAAUUAAUUGUCUCUACACCUGUUCAUUUCAUGGGGAGACUGAAAAUAAGAAGAUAAUCUCUGUAGACUUCCAAAGCUUGCCAGGCGCCUCUGUCCAUGGGAUUUUCCAGGCAAGAGUACUGGAAUGGGUUGCCAUUUCCUUCUCCAGGGGAUCUUCCAGACCCAGGGAUUGAACCCAGGUUUCCUGCAUUACAACGAGACUCUUUGCCAUCUGAGCUACCAGGGAAGCUGCCUCUAAAAUUUCUGUCAUGCUUCAUGUGCUCAAAUGUAAUAAAAUGUAUUAAAAUGUUU
ensembl:lncRNA